rnacentral:rRNA from 1 species
GAGCACGUAGGUGGGUUUGUAAGUCAGAUGUGAAAGCCUUCUGUUCAACGGAAGAAUUGCAUCUGAAACUACAAACCUUGAGUAUAGGAGGGGAGAAUGGAACUUCUGGUGGAGCGGUGAAAUGCGUAGAUAUCAGAAGGAACGCCGGCGGCGAAAGCGAUUCUCUGGCCUAUUACUGACACUCAGUGUGCGAAAGCUAGGGGAGCAAACGGGAUUAGAUACCCCGGUAGUCCUAGCCGUAAACGAUAAGCACUAAGUAGAGGGG